rnacentral:rRNA from 1 species
CGUUACCAAUCUGUUGCCUCGGCGGGAUUCUCUUGCCCCGGGCGCGUCGCAGCCCCGGAUCCCAUGGCGCCCGCCGGAGGACCAACUCCAAACUCUUUUUUUCUCUCCGUCGCGGCUCCCGUCGCGGCUCUGUUUUAUUUUUGCUCUGAGCCUUUCUCGGCGACCCUAGCGGGCGUCUCGAAAAUGAAUCAAAACUUUCAACAACGGAUCUCUUGGUUCUGGCAUCGAUGAAGAACGCAGCGAAAUGCGAUAAGUAAUGUGAAUUGCAGAAUUCAGUGAAUCAUCGAAUCUUUGAACGCACAUUGCGCCCGCCAGUAUUCUGGCGGGCAUGCCUGUCCGAGCGUCAUUUCAACCCUCGAACCCCUCCGGGGGGUCGGCGUUGGGGAUCGGCCCCUCACCGGGCCGCCCCCGAAAUACAGUGGCGGUCUCGCCGCAGCCUCUCCUGCGCAGUAGUUUGCACACUCGCACCGGGAGCGCGGCGCGGCCACAGCCGUAAAACACCCCAA